rfam:Gossypium raimondii Chr01_contig_981, whole genome shotgun sequence.
AUCCCAUGAUGAGGACACUUACAAAGUAACUCCAUGAAUCAGCCCAAGCCUCAUACAAUGACUCGUCAUCUAGUUGCUGGAAAGUUGUGAUCUCGUUCCUCAACAU